UAGUAGCGGCGAGCGAAGCGGGAAGAGCUCAAAUUUAUAAUCUGGCACCUUCGGUGUCCGAGUUGUAAUCUCUAGAAGUGUUUUCCGCGUUGGACCGCACACAAGUCUGUUGGAAUACAGCGGCAUAGUGGUGAGACCCCCGUAUAUGGUGCGGACGCCCAACGCUUUGUGAUACACUUUCGAAGAGUCGAGUUGUUUGGGAAUGCAGCUCAAAUUGGGUGGUAAAUUCCAUCUAAAGCUAAAUAUUGGCGAGAGACCGAUAGCGAACAAGUACCGUGAGGGAAAGAUGAAAAGCACUUUGGAAAGAGAGUUAACAGUACGUGAAAUUGUUGGAAGGGAAACGCUUGAAGUCAGACUUGCUUGCCGAGCAAUCGGUUUGCAGGCCAGCAUCAGUUUUCCGGGGUGGAUAAUGGUAGAGAGAAGGUAGCAGUUUCGGCUGUGUUAUAGCUCUCUGCUGGAUACACCUUGGGGGACUGAGGAACGCAGUGUGCCUUACGGCGGAUUUCUCGAG
rnacentral:rRNA from 1 species